GUACACGCUGUGACUAGUAUAUCAAUAAGCGGAGGAAAAGAAACUAACAAGGAUUCCCCUAGUAACGGCGAGUGAAGCGGGAAGAGCUCAAAUUUGAAAUCUUAAAGGGUUUCCCUUUACGAAUUGUAGUUUAAAGAAGUGUUUUCUGUUGAGGUUUUGGUAAAAGUUCUUUGGAAUAGGACAUCAUAGAGGGUGAGAAUCCCGUAUUUGACCUUUACUUUCAACUUUGUGAUACACUUUCAAAGAGUCGGAUUGUUUGGGAAUGCAGUCCAAAAUGGGUGGUAAAUUUCAUCUAAAGCUAAAUAUUGGCGAGAGACCGAUAGCGAACAAGUACCGUGAGGGAAAGAUGAAAAGAACUUUGAAAAGAGAGUUAAACAGUACGUGAAAUUGUCAAAAGGGAAGCGUUUGACACCAGUGUUGUUUUUCUGAAAAUCAAUUAAAGAACUGUUUAUGCUAAGUUGUUUAGACUUUAUCAGCUAACUGUUUAGUUUUGAGCUUUUCUUUAAUGCACUUUUCAGUUAACAAGUCAACAUCAAUUUCUUUUGCUGUAAAAAAGCUUGAGGAAGGUGGCUUGAGAUUCGUCUUAAGUGUUUAUAGCCUCUUGCCUAUGCAGUCGGAGAGAUUGAGGUCCGCAGCGUAGAUCCUUCGGGGCUAAAUGCAUUCGUGCUAAGUUAUAACAUUUUAUAGACAACUUGUUGACUAUGAUUUGUCUUGUAGCUUACUCGCUUAUGUUAUUUUACCUACGCUUAGGAUGUUGACGCGCGUGUGUGCGG
rnacentral:rRNA from 1 species